UACGUAGGUGGCAAGCGUUGUCCGGAUUUACUGGGCGUAAAGGGCUUGUAGGCGGUUUGUUAAGUCUGGUGUGAAAUCUCCCGGCUCAACCGGGAGGGGUCAUCGGAUACUGGCAGACUAGAGACGGGUAGAGGAAAGCAGAAUUCCCGGUGUAGCGGUGAAAUGCGUAGAUAUCGAGAGGAACACCUGCGGCGAAGGCGGGUUGCUGGGCUGACACUGACGCUGAGGCGCGAAAGCUAGGGGAGCGAACGGG
rnacentral:rRNA from 1 species